rnacentral:rRNA from 1 species
UACGUAGGUGGCAAGCGUUGUCCGGAUUUACUGGGCGUAAAGAGCGUGUAGGCGGCUCGAUAAGUCUGCUGUGAAAGUCCAGGGCUCAACCCUGGAAGGCCGGUGGAAACUGUCGGGCUAGAGUCCGGAAGAGGCGAGUGGAAUUCCCGGUGUAGCGGUGAAAUGCGCAGAUAUCAGGAGGAACACCGAUGGCGAAGGCAGCUCGCUGGGACGGUACUGACGCUGAGGCGCGAAAGCGUGGGGAGCAAACAGG